UAAGUAACAGGUCGUAGACCCGAAACCAGGUGAUCUACCCAUGUCCAGGAUGAAGGUAAGGUAAUACUUACUGGAGGUCCGAACCCACGCACGUUGAAAAGUGCGGGGAUGAGGUGUGGGUAGCGGAGAAAUUCCAAUCGAACUUGGAGAUAGCUGGUUCUCUCCGAAAUAGCUUUAGGGCUAGCCUCGAGGUAAAGAGUCAUGGAGGUAGAGCACUGUUUGGACUAGGGGCCCUUCUCGGGUUACCGAAUUCAGAUAAACUCCGAAUGCCAUGUACUUAUACUCGGGAGUCAGACUGCGAGUGAUAAGAUCCGUAGUCGAAAGGGAAACAGCCCAGACCACCAGUUAAGGUCCCCAAAUAUAUGUUAAGUGGAAAAGGAUGUGGGGUUGCUUAGACAACCAGGAUGUUGGCUUAGAAGCAGCCACCAUUGAAAGAGUGCGUAAUAGCUCACUGGUCGAGUGACCCCGCGCCGAAAAUGUACCGGGGCUAAACAUAUUACCGAAACUGUGGAUGAACCUCUUCGGAGGUUCGUGGUAGGAGAGCGUUCUAAGGGCGGUGAAGUCAGACCGGAAGGACUGGUGGAGCGCUUAGAAGUGAGAAUGCCGGUAUGAGUAGCGAAAGAAGGGUGAGAAUCCCUUCCACCGAAUAUCUAAGGUUUCCUGAGGAAGGCUCGUCCGCUCAGGGUUAGUCGGGACCUAAGCCGAGGCCGAUAGGCGUAGGCGAUGGACAACAGGUAGAGAUUCCUGUACCAGUGCUAAUUGUUUAACCGAUGGGGUGACACAGAAGGAUAGGGAAUCGCACGAAUGGAAAUGUGCGUCCAAGCAGUGAGUGUGAGAAGUAGGCAAAUCCGCUUCUCGCGAAGCAUGAGCUGUGAUGGGGAAGGAAAUUAAGUACGGAAGUUCCUGAUUUCACGCUGUCAAGAAAAGCCUCUAGGAAGAGUAGUACUGCCCGUACCGCAAACCGACACAGGUAGAUGAGGAGAGAAUCCUAAGGUGAGCGAGAGAACUCUCGUUAAGGAACUCGGCAAAAUGACCCCGUAACUUCGGGAGAAGGGGUGCUCUAUUAGGGUGCAAGCCCGAGAGAGCCGCAGUGAAUAGGCCCAGGCGACUGUUUAGCAAAAACACAGGUCUCUGCAAAACCGUAAGGUGACGUAUAGGGGCUGACGCCUGCCCGGUGCUGGAAGGUUAAGAGGAGUGCUUAGCUUCGGCGAAGGUACGAAUUGAAGCCCCAGUAAACGGCGGCCGUAACUAUAACGGUCCUAAGGUAGCGAAAUUCCUUGUCGGGUAAGUUCCGACCCGCACGAAAGGCGCAACGAUCUGGGCACUGUCUCAACGAGAGACUCGGUGAAAUUAUAGUACCUGUGAAGAUGCAGGUUACCCGCGACAGGACGGAAAGACCCCGUGGAGCUUUACUGCAACCUGAUAUGGAAUGUUUGUACCGCUUGUACAGGAUAGGUAGGAGCCGAAGAGACGUGUGCGCUAGCAUACGAGGAGGCAAUGGUGGGAUACUACCCUGGCUGUAUGACCAUUCUAACCCGCCACGCUAAGCGCGUGGGGAGACAGUGUCAGGUGGGCAGUUUGACUGGGGCGGUCGCCUCCUAAAGAGUAACGGAGGCGCCCAAAGGUUCCCUCAGAAUGGAUGGAAAUCAUUCGCAGAGUGUAAAGGCACAAGGGAGCUUGACUGCGAGACUGACAAGUCGAGCAGGGACGAAAGUCGGGCUUAGUGAUCCGGUGGUUCCGCAUGGAAGGGCCAUCGCUCAACGGAUAAAAGCUACCCCGGGGAUAACAGGCUUAUCUCCCCCAAGAGUCCACAUCGACGGGGAGGUUUGGCACCUCGAUGUCGGCUCGUCGCAUCCUGGGGCUGUAGUCGGUCCCAAGGGUUGGGCUGUUCGCCCAUUAAAGCGGCACGCGAGCUGGGUUCAGAACGUCGUGAGACAGUUCGGUCCCUAUCCGUCGCGGGCGCAGGAAAUUUGAGAGGAGCUGUCCUUAGUACGAGAGGACCGGGAUGGACACACCGCUGGUGUACCAGUUGUUCCGCCAGGAGCAUCGCUGGGUAGCUAUGUGUGGCAGGGAUAAACGCUGAAAGCAUCUAAGCGUGAAGCCCCCCUCAAGAUGAGAUUUCCCAUUUCUUCGGAAAGUAAGAUCCCUGAAAGAUGAUCAGGUAGAUAGGUUUGGAGUGGAAGUGUAGCGAUACAUGGAGCGGACAAAUACUAAUCGAUCGAGGACUUAACCAAAA
rnacentral:rRNA from 1 species